CUACUUUCUAAGUUCUACCUCAGAGUUUGCCGGUGAUCCGUCAAAAUGUUGGAAAAUAGUUAGCGCACAGAAGCGUGGCCGAAGCAAGUUGUGUCAGACUCUUUUCAUCAGCAUUUUAUCUUGGCAAGCUUUUUAUUUGAAAGACAUCGUGGUUUAUUUGACACGGGUCACUGAGUCGACUGCUCUUUACUCUCUCAGCCUUUACUUGGCUGGAUGGAAGAUCAUUCAACUUCUAGGGAAUAGUUUGUAUCAUUCAUUCCAACAACAUUUUACUUGUGAUGUGCUAGAUGCCUUGCUUAAGAAAACAUCUACUGGGGCUCAUUUGCUGGAUCCAUUCUUUCUGCAGAGAAGUCAUUGGCACAUUUUUUAUCUGACGAUUAUCUCGGAUGCUAUCCCCAGGGUUUGGAAGGCAGCCCAUGUGCUCCUUCUCCAUAAAGUUGACCAGGCUAUUUUGGAGCUUCAAUCUACCUUCAUUGCUUUGCAGAAACCCAUUGUUGAACUGAAAUUGGUACUUAAUGCAGUUGCAGACGGUGUGGCAGCGAAGAGGAAGAGGGAGGACGAGGAGAAAGAGGAGGUGCGGGAGAACAGUGAGAAUCCCCUCCGCUGUCCUGUCCGAUUGUACGAGUUCUACCUGUGGUGAGUGGUGAGUGACACGUACACAAAUACUGCAUACCUUUAAUCUCCCCAUUCUGCACUGUAAAGUCAACGGAGCAAAGACCAUGAUUUUUUAUACUGGGUUGAUGAAAAUCCUCUGGUUUAUACUGUUUGCUGCGCAUUAACGCAGCUCCUGUAUCCCAUCCUGGCAGGUUUCCUCAUUAGACCCUGCACUAUGUGCUAUUUAAGUUUAGUCUACAUUUGGUCUGCUGAGAAAUCCCCUCAUAUUCUUAACAGAACCAAAGAUAUCAUCUUUAUGUUCUAAUCUUCUCCCCCUAUGGUUGUGAUGUAUGCUGCUGCUUGCAGAGAGAACGUCCUCUACUCUCCUCUUCUAACACCACCAGACACACCCAAACACACUAACUCAACUAGCUGAUUAGAUCACUUCCUGUCAGGUCCCUAUAGGAUGCUAAAAACAAACAUUGUUUGCUUGU